GCUUUGGGAAGAGCUGUCCACGGUGCGAACAAAAGUCCGCCAGUCUCUCUGUUUUCUUUCCAUUUCUGCACAACGCGCCUAAUAAAACCCUUCCAAACCUAAAACCCCCACUCAUUUCCCUUCCAUUUCUAUUCCCUAUCCAACUUGUCCUUCGCCAGACUCUGGACUAGAUACCAAACAAUUCACAAAUCAGAGAAACCUGAAAAACCCUAGAUUCGCAAAAUGUCGAUGUCGAAGAGCUCUAAGAUGCUCCAAUAUAUCAACUAUCGGAUGCGGGUCACCAUCCAGGACGGCCGGCAGCUGGUCGGAAAGUUCAUGGCCUUCGACCGCCACAUGAAUCUUGUCCUCGGAGACUGCGAGGAGUUUCGCAAGCUUCCACCUGCCAAGGGCAAAAAGAACAACGAGGAGCGGGAGGAUCGUCGCACUCUUGGCCUCGUUCUUCUCCGUGGCGAAGAGGUGAUUUCCAUGACUGUUGAGGGCCCCCCUCCUCCUGAAGAGUCUCGCGCUAAGGCUGUUUCCGCUACUGCCGUUGCUGGCCCCGGCAUUGGCCGCGCAGCUGGCCGUGGGAUUCCCACUGCUCCUCUCGUUCAGGCCCAGCCUGGUCUUGCGGGUCCUGUCCGUGGCGUUGGUGGUCCUGCACCUGGCAUGAUGCAGCCGCAGCUCUCGCGUCCUCCGGUCCCACAACUUUCUGCUCCGCCUAUGACUUACCCUGCAGCAGCGGCUCCACCGGCUGGUAGCGCCCCUGUCAUGCGGCCGCCUGGCCAAAUGCCUCCUCCUGCUUAUCCUGGUCAAGCUCCUCCAAUGGUUCGGGGUCCACCUCCACCUGUUCCACCUCAGUUUGCUGCUAGGCCACCACAACAGGGGUACCCAAUGCCGCCACAGUUUGCACAGAGACCAAUGGGAAUGCCACCCCAGCCACAGGCACCGAUGAUGAGAGGGCCUCCUGCUCCAAGGCCUGGAAUGCCAGCCCCACCUCCUCCUCGUCCUGGGAUGCCCCCUCAGGCUGGUGGGGUUCCUAUUUAUGGACCUCCUCGUCCUGGUAUGCCACCUCCUCUCAAUCCCCAACAGCAGCAGCAGAAUCAGCAGCAACAAUGAUUAGGGUUGCUACAGUUGUGCUGCGAAAGUUCUCUGAUGAAAAGGAUUCUAUCAAGUGGUGAAGUCUUUAUUAGGUUUGCCUUUGUGCUCUGCAACAUCUAAUUUCGAAUUCGCUAGGGUUUUGAACUAAUGUGGAUCCUCCUAUUUUAGUUUAGGAUUUUGUUGUGUUGUAAUGGUACUAUAUGCAUUGUUGGCGGAGUGGAGAGUGUUUUAUCAAAGUUAUAUUGGCACAUAUGAUCAUUAGACAAAAAAUUAUUAGCAGUGCAGCGUUUAAAUUGAACUUUGAUCUGUUUUCGUCUAAAAGUGGAAUUUUCUGGGAUUUGAUAGGCUGGUCCAGUUUUGGAUUUCUGGAAAAUCCCAAGUUAUUGGUCUAAACGAUAUUCUGUUUUAGCUACAUUUUCCAACUUUAUCCUGAUGGCUAGUUUUGGGCUCAACAUUGUAGUUGAUUCUAUGCCUGCAGACACUCAAAAAGUACUUCUUAUAAGCUGGAUUAUUCAUUAAGCUGUGGGUAAACAAGAAAGUGUUUAAAGUCUAAAUUAACUUGGUGCUCGCCUCGUGCAAAGGUCUUAGAAAUGGAAUACGAAGGUACUUCAAUGGGUAAUCCUGUAUUUUGGAACGAUCAGGGUCAUAUUAGGCGUCUUUCCCCUGUUCUGUUGGAGUCAUGAAUGCAAAUAAAGCGAAAUUAAGAGCAAUUUAUAAGGCUCUUAUAAUUUCUACGCAAUCUUUACGGCGUCUUGGUGAGCUUCUGGAUCUUAUUGUUGUCACACAAUGCUCAUACUUUGCUUAGUAGCUCAUGUGAUGGACUGUGGAGACUUGAUUAUGUAUCUAUUAUAAACUCAAUUUUAUAUGAGAAUGAGUUUAAUGAUCG
rnacentral:misc_RNA from 1 species